UACGUAGGGUGCGAGCGUUAAUCGGAAUUACUGGGCGUAAAGCGUGCGCAGGCGGUUUUGCAAGCCGGAUGUGAAAUCCCCGGGCUUAACCUGGGAAUGGCAUUUGGGACUGCAAGGCUGGAGUGCGGCAGAGGAGACUGGAAUUCCUGGUGUAGCAGUGAAAUGCGUAGAUAUCGGGAGGAACACCAGAGGCGAAGGCGGCCACCUGGACAGAGAUUGACGCUGAGACGCGAAAGCGUGGGGAGCAAACAGG
rnacentral:rRNA from 1 species